UGCUGUGAUUGUGUGAUGUGGCCUGUCUGUGCUCCCCUGGGUACCCUGGUGUGGCCUGGCUGGUGUUGGGCUAUCUCUUGCUUUCUGCAUGACAUCAGGUAAAAAUGAGUUUGUUCAAAACCUAAAUAAAGUUAUAGAAAAAACCCAUGGCAUUACAAGGUAAAUUAAACAGGAUUCAGUUCUGAAACAGUGGCUUUUCUCCCUGGCAUCCUGAUUUCUUCUUGAUCCUGUUUUGGGCUGGAUUUAGGGAUCAUUAUGUGGGUUGGUCCAUCUAUACCUUUUCUCCUCUGGCUUUUGGCAUUCACACAUUCCAAGCACUGCAGUAGGAGAUGAGAUUCCCACUCCUGGCCAUUAAUUCCCUCUGGGUCAGGGGCAGCACAACCCCUUGAGUGACCUCAGAGUACAUGAAGAGUUGUGUCCCCAAGAUAAAUCCAGUACCAUGGAUCUGAUCCAGUAUCAUUCUGUCCCUGAAAUUCUUUGUCCAAGACCCAAUUGCUCUCCAGAAUUCCAUGAUCUUCCUCGACAUCAGUGAGGGUAAGGAACCCAGAGUGCAAAAGCAGCCUGCAGCCUCAUGUUUGCUGUGAUUCUCAGGAGAAAGUUGCUGCUGGAAGGUUCCUGUUUUUUCCAGACCCCAUUGCUGCUUCUAUAAGGAGACGUCUGGAGAGAAGAAAAAGGUCCUUGCAUUGAUAUCUUUCAGGUGGUUGAAGGCAUGAACCUCUUGCUAUGAACAGGGGCCUGAUACCUGCCCAGGUUGCAGCCUGUGCUCUUUCCAGGUGGGCUCUUUGGUUUUCCAGCUGGGAAGGAGAGAAAAGGAGUUCAAUUGUGAGGGAACUGCAUCCAGGGGGAUGAAAGAGUCGUUUCAGGAUUAGGGAUUUCAUACAUGAAAAGGGAAGA